UACAGAGGUCCCAAGCGUUGUUCGGAUUCAUUGGGCGUAAAGGGUGCGUAGGCGGCGCGGUAAGUCGGGUGUGAAAUCUCGGAGCUUAACUCCGAAACUGCAUUCGAUACUGCCGUGCUUGAGGACUGGAGAGGAGACUGGAAUUUACGGUGUAGCGGUGAAAUGCGUAGAUAAUCGUAAGGAAGACCAGUGGCGAAGGCGGGUCUCUGGACAGUUCCUGACGCUGAGGCACGAAGGUCAGGGGAGCAAACGGG
rnacentral:rRNA from 1 species